rfam:Echinops telfairi cont1.403573, whole genome shotgun sequence.
GGGGUUGGAAUGUAGAUGUCUGAAACAAACGUGUAUAAAUAAAUGGAUUGCUGAUAACUUAGCUAUUGACCUGGAGACUAGUAGUUUGUUAAAGAAACCCCA